rnacentral:rRNA from 16 species
UUAAUUUGACUCAACACGGGGAAACUUACCAGGUCCACACAUAGCAAGGAUUGACAGACUGAGAGCUCUUUCUUGAUUCUAUGGGUGGUGGUUCAUGGCCGUUCUUAGUUGGUGGAGCAAUUUGUCUGGUUAAUUCCGUUAACGAGUCAGACCUCGGCAUGCUAACUAGCUAUGCGGAGCCAUCCCUCUGCAGCUAGCUUCUUAGAGGGACUAUCGCCUGCCUAACAACUCACCUGCCGAAUCAACUAGCCCGUGGUCAUGGAAGUCAAACUCCGCUAAGACAGCAGGACGGUGGUCAUGGAAGUCAUGGAAG